UCAACGAGACUUCGCCUAUGUUUCUAUUGGCGGUGGAUUUGUUGUGAACGUGCGUUUGGAGAGAUCUUACAAUUUGUAGCUUCUCUGUUAGUGGUGAAACGCAAAAACAAACACAUACUUCAUCUCCUAAUCUUCAUCUGUUUCCACUUUUUCCGUAUAUAUUCCAUUCAAGCAGUGUAGAUUUGAACUAUGAAUGAAUAUACAAAAGAAUAAUACUUAGCAAAAGCCUUAAAAAAAUAAAUAUAGCUACUUAUUAAUUAAUUUAUUGUAGGUUGGUUUUGGUCCCCAGCACAAAAAAGCAGACAAGAGGAAUUCCUCAAGCAACCUACCUUAUAUAUCUUGUGUUAUUUUCGAUCAUUGUACAGUUCCG
rnacentral:lncRNA from 1 species